GACGAACGCUGGCGGCGUGCUUAACACAUGCAAGUGGAGCGACGAACCAGGCUUCGGCCUGGGGCAGAGCCGCGAACGGGUGAGUAACACGUGGGUAACCUGCCCUGAUGAUCGGGACAACCCGGGGAACCCGGGCUAAUACCGAAUGUGCCCGCAAGCCACAAGGCUUGCGAGGAAAGGAAGCUUCGGCCUCCGCAUCGGGAUGGGCCCGCGGCCCAUUAGCUUGUUGGUGGGGUAACGGCCUACCAAGGCAGCAAUGGGUAGCUGGCCUGAGAGGACGAUCAGCCACACUGGGACUGAGACACGGCCCAGACUCCUACGGGAGGCAGCAGUGGGGAAUCUUGCGCAAUGCGCGAAAGCGUGACGCAGCAACGCCGCGUGGGGAAGACGGCC
rnacentral:rRNA from 1 species